GGAGAGGUCGCAUAGCCCGGUCGAGUGCGCGUGUUUGGAGUACACGUAAUCCGUAAGGAUUCCAGGGUUCGAAUCCCUGCCUCUCCG
rnacentral:tRNA from 1 species